ensembl:scaRNA
ACUGGAGGACCAAGAAGGCUGAGUCUGAUGAAGCAAGACUUUGCUGAUACACUCCUCCUAGAAAAAAGGGUUGGAGAGAGCAGCCCUCAUUGGAGAAAAUUUUGGGGCUGACUGUACGACCCAACAUUC